GCGCGGAGCCCUCCCGGCAGGCGGCGCGGAGGUCGGGGCCGCGGGUCUGGAGUGGAGCUGCGGUGAAUGGGGAUUUCUUCAGUGGCCUUCAAAGAACUCUUGCCAUACCAGUCAGGGGAUCUCCACUCCGGGGGACAUGGUUCUGGUAACAAAAGAGCAGAGGGAGCGGUGCCCAGAGAGUGAGAAAGCUCAGCCAUAAACCUCGCUCCAAGCCGAAACUUAGCAUAGAGGGCCUCUGUGGUUGAUUUGCAGGAAGGGGAUUUCUACAGUGGGCAUGGGAGUCUCAGAAAGGUGCUGCCAUCUCUCAGCAAGAUCUAACCCUGCCAGCCUGCUCUUCUCGGCUGUGAGGUCUGGCACAGACAAAGCCAAAGCGAGACUGAGUCAUAACAAAAACAAGGCACCGCCCAUUAUUUCAACACUAUGGAGUGACUGCUGCGGCGUGAUCUCAAGUGCCAAACAACAGAUGAAUCCCAUCCGGUUAAUUGUUGCCCCGGCCAGUCAGAUGCAGGUUGCUUGGUCUUGCAAUGAAGGACAAAAGUCCUUUCUUCUUCUCUUUGUUGCAUGUAACAAAGAUGGUUUGAUGCAGAUGGGAUCAGGCCCACAGCUGAUCCCCCCUGCCCCCCGCCGCUCAGCUGGGCUCAGCUGGUGCAUCCUGGAGAAUAGAAAAAUAAUGUUUGUUAUGUUUCAGGCUGUUGGGGCUGUAAUUUGGAUUUGUAUGUAGUCUCUUCUUCUCCAUUGAGGGUCUUUCCCCCCUUUGUGCUCUCCUGUUUGCAUUGCUCAGAGGUGCGAAGAGGGAACAUUCUGGCCUGGUUAGAGAGACAGACACAUAGUGACAAAAAGGGAGCCAGGAGGAGAAACGUUUUGGAUGUGAGAUCUUUGUCUGCCCAGGGGGAGAGUCUAUUACACAAGGCUGGGCUGAGGCCACUGGAAGCUCUUUGUCACACUGAAUUUUAUUCACAAACCACGGAAACCCAUGUGCUUGGACAGCACAAACCGCUCCAGUGCAGGAGAUCCAGAGUCUGGGUGAUUUCGUCCUGGCCUGCUGCAGGAGCAAGAGCAGGGUGAAGCCAAAGUAGCCAGGUCUGCCCCAGGUUCAGAUGGACAAACUGCACUGCUCAGAAAAUAGCUUUUCUCUUUAUUUCCCAGGAGGGGAUGAACUCUUGGAGCCCACUGCUUCACCAGAUACUCCUGUUGUGGUGCAUUACGGUUAGUGGUAGCAGGGGCGGCUCUAGGUAUUUUGCCGCCCCAAGCACGGCAGGCAGGCUGCCUUCGGCGGCUUGCCUGCGGGAGGUCCCCGGUUCCACGGAUUUGACGGCAGCCUGCG